rnacentral:tRNA from 1 species
GCCUAGUAAGCUUGGUUGGUAGCGCGUCUGCCUUGUAAGCGCUAGGUCGCGGGUUCGAUUCCCGCCCGGGGCG